ensembl:snRNA U6 U6 spliceosomal RNA
GUGCUCACUUCAGCAGCACAUAUACUAAAAUUGGAACAUUAUAGGGAAAAUUAGAAUGGCCCCUGCACAAGGAUAACCUGAAAUUUCCUGAAGCAUUCUAGAUUUUU